UGGGGAAUAUUGGACAAUGGGCGCAAGCCUGAUCCAGCCAUGCCGCGUGAGUGAUGAAGGCCUUAGGGUUGUAAAGCUCUUUCGGUGGGGAAGAUAAUGACGGUACCCACAGAAGAAGCCUCGGCUAACUUCGUGCCAGCAGCCGCGGUAAUACGAAGGGGGCUAGCGUUGUUCGGAUUUACUGGGCGUAAAGCGCACGUAGGCGGAUUGGUCAGUUAGGGGUGAAAUCCUGGAGCUCAACUCCAGAACUGCCUUUAAUACUGCCAGUCUCGAGUCCGGAAGAGGUAAGUGGAACUCCUAGUGUAGAGGUGGAAUUCGUAGAUAUUAGGAAGAACACCAGUGGCGAAGGCGGCUUACUGGUCCGGUACUGACGCUGAGGUGCGAAAGCGUGGGGAGCAAACA
rnacentral:rRNA from 1 species